UCUCCGUAGGUGAACCUGCGGAGGGAUCAUUACCGAGCUCAUGCCCUUACGGGUAGAUCUCCCACCCUGUGUUAUUAUUACCUUUGUUGCUUUGGCGGGCCACCAGGCUCCGGUCAGGCUAUCGGCUUCGGCUGGUAAGCGCCCGCCAGAGGACCCUAUAUCCUGAUUAUUAGUGUCGUCUGAGUACUAUAUAAUAGUUAAAACUUUCAACAACGGAUCUCUUGGUUCUG
rnacentral:misc_RNA from 1 species